GUGAUUUAGGCAAUCCUUUUUUCUUUUGUCUGAUUAAUUAUUCACCAGCCAUAAGUGCUUACUAACAUUAAUUAUAAACAAAAACUAGGGUCAUAAUUAAUGAUUAGUAAAGGAAACUAAAAUACAGGUUGUGUUUCAGAAUUGAGAAUGUAUGGAAUUAUAAAUAUGCAAGAUAGAUUUUCUUAUUCUUUGUCACUUCUUUGAUAUGUGUGUUAACUAUUCUUGGAAUCAUUAUCAUCCAGUAAAAUCCUUCUUCCAUGCUGUGUGGGUUGACCAGCUGGUGAGCCUGAAGACUGUACCAAGCUCCAGUGUCUGCUUUGGUAUGGUUUCUAUUUGUUGAUGCCCUUCCUAACACUGAUUGCUUUACAGAGUAUACUUGGCACUUUUUAUGUAGUACUGGUAUUUGUGAGGUCACCUAGUAGAUCACAAAGCAAGACCUCUACUGAAAGAGUAUUGUAUUGAGGGAGGUGGUUAAAGUAUGAUAGACAGACACAGGUGUCAUGCUAUAGAGAAAAUACAUGGUAACCCCAGUUAGAAAGAGAAUAUGGUGAAGAUGUGUCAGAGCAAGUUAAUUCUGAAUAUUUAAAGGAUUUCUUUUCAAAAUUGCCAAAAUCUGCUAUUUCUUAAAUUGCCAAAUGAAAGAGUAUCAAAUAUAUUUUGAAGAUUUACAUUUUUCAUUUAAAUAGUUUUAAGUCUAGCAUAAUAUUAAUAAUUUUUUUAGAAAUAUUAUUGCUAGUUGUUAACUUGAGUCAAUAGCAGCUAUAUUCAGCUCUUCAAAUAUCAAUCAUGCUUACUCGAAAUACUUCAUAACUUAGGUUGUGAUUUUGAAAUUUCAACCUUGUUGACCUCUGCCAGUGACAUUACUGAUAUAAUCUGUAUCAAGCCUACAGGCUCUUGAGUCUUGAUCUUAUCCAGGUUUUCAGGAUGUUUAAGUUGAAGAUAGGAAACUCCCUCCCACCUGAAUGAGAUGCCAGGUCAUGACAGUUAACCCCACUAGGUGUCACUGGUAUGCACAUUUCUAGCUGAGUGUACUAGAGCAAUGUGAAACGAAGUGCCUUGCUCAAAGACACAAUAAGCCUCCCAGUCCAGAAAUUGAACCAACAACCUAAUACUCAUGAGCUCAACACACAAACCACUAAGGCCACGUGAUUUGAUUAUAAGUUAAAUGAAACUUUAAUAUAAAUGAACAUAUCAACUUCUAUCAAAUGUACAUUGUAAAGUGAUUCCACUUUACUCAGCAUGUUUAAUAAAAGAUAGUAAUUAACAAUAUGGUCCUAUAAUUUGCAUAUUGUAUCCUUUCUUCCAAUAAGUCCUGAGAAUAAUUUCAAAGAAUCUGUAUUGGCAGAACUGAUGCAGACACCAGUAUUUAGUUUGUUUUGUCCUUCUGUGAAUGGAAUUCAAAUCCUACUGAUGUCGACUUUAUCUUUCAUUCCUUCAGGGAUUGGUAAAAUAAGUACAGCCAAUAAUAUACUGCAGUCAUUUCAAUCAGUUAUUCAAAUGAAAUUUAUAAUCUCCAAUAACAUAUCAAUGUUUCAGGAUCCAUGAGUGAAACAAAUUUUUCUGCCACUAGCUUUAGAUUUCAACUGGGCAAGAAAUUUUCAAGUGAUAUGGCUGGCUAUACACACACACACACAUAUAUAUAUAGUCACAGUGAGGAUAUUUAAACAUAGGGAUAUUUUUAUCCAAGAUACACUGGUUUAAUAUAUUGUAUUUUGAAGAGAUAUUUCUACAAUGAAUACAUUAUAUAAAAUAUCAAAUAUUAUUAUUAAGUUUGAAAAUAGAGAGAUCUAAUGGAUAAAAUCAAUUUAUUAAUCAUCAGGGUGUACAAAGAACAAUACAAGGAUUACACAUAUUCUGAGUAUUCCAACGGAUCAUAAUGUAAUCCUUGUCCUUUGUACACCCUGAUGAUGCAAAAUUAUAUAUUUAUAUAUGUUUUGUAGCUAUAAUUUUGUUUGUGAAAUGAAACAAUUGUAGGUGAAUAUGUGAAUUAAUUAAUUUGUAUCCAUUAGAUCUCUCUGUUUUCAAAUUUAAUAAUAUAUAUAUGUUACACAAUUCUUUACAAGUUUGGCACAGGGCAAGCAGUUCUAAUGGGGAAUAUAAGUUGAUGACACUCAUUUUGCUGUUUUAUCUUUGUGGAUACAACUCAUUAGUAUGAUGCCCAGACAGGUAAAAUCAUUAAAGCUGCACAAGGCAUCUCUAUUAAAUUUAUAUUAAGUAUUUAAAUGCAUCAAAUAACAUUCUUUUCUUUCUAGAAAUAAAUAUUU